UGGUUGUGGAGAAUGUGUUGAAAUGGGAAUUGAGCAAGGAGAAGGUGCAGCCCUUGCGGAAGGGACGCAGCGAUGGCACCAGUAUGUGAAUUUUGACUCGAUCUUUGUUUCCCGACUGUACACUUCCAAAGGGUUUCUUCUCUAUUUCUGUUACAAUAUGUAGUCCAAACUUUAGUAUGACUUGCUCUAGCUCUCAAACUUGAACAAAACCAAAACAAUAUCUGAAUGUAUUUGCAGAGAAUGGUGGGCUCACUCUUUGCAGGCGGUAUGUUAUCCAGUGGCUUCAGCUCCUCCUGCAACGACACAUAAUAGCUAACGAUGAGCAUCCCCAAAGACGCAGUACAAGCAGAAAAAGCACGAACCUUUCAAGGCGAAUGCGAAUGCCGAGCAGGACGAGACCCGGCGGCUCACCUCGAGGAGUUGGAUUUCAUUGUUGAGCUGCUGCAGCUUACGGUUACGCGCACACAUCACAAUAGACGUGGGAGCGGACGGCGGCGGGGUUGCUGGCUGGCGGCCGGAGUCAUGGGCGGCGAGGGAUUCGCCCGCAAUACACUGCUCGCA
rnacentral:lncRNA from 1 species